UGUUGAAUCACCAGUUCUUGUCCAAUCACUGAAGUUAAGCAACACAGAGCCUGGUCAGUACCUAGAUGAGUGACAUCUUAGGAAUACCAGGUGUUGUAA